GUCUGUAUGAAAUAUUAUAUAGAGUCUAACCUGCCCACUGAUUUUUAAAGGGCCGCAGUAUUUUGACUGUGCGAAGGUAGCAUAAUCAUUAGUUUUUUAAUUGAAAGCUUGAAUGAAUGGUUGGAUGAGGGAUAAGCUGUCUUUUAUAUAAUUAUUGAAUUUAACUUUUAAGUGAAAAGGCUUAAAUAACUAAAAGGGACGAUAAGACCCUAUAAAAUUUAAUAAACUUUUAUUUAUAUUAUGAAUAUAGUGAAAAUUACUUUUUAAGGAAGUUUAUUUUGUUGGGGCGACGGAGAUAUAAUUGUAACUGUCUUCAGAAUUUAAUAACAAUAGUUAAUUAUUGAUCCUUUAUUAAGGAUUAUAAGAAUAAGUUACUUUAGGGAUAACAGCGUAAUUUUCUUUGAGAGUUCUAAUCGAUAAGAGUAGUUGCGACCUCGAUGUUGAAUUAAAAUUUCUACUGGGUGCAGCAGUUCAGUAAGUAAGUCUGUUCGACUUUUGAAAUUUUACA
rnacentral:rRNA from 1 species